AUUGAACGCUGGCGGCAGGCUUAACACAUGCAAGUCGAGCGAGCGGCGGACGGGUGAGUAAUGUCUGGGAAACUGCCUGACGGAGGGGGAUAACUACUGGAAACGGUAGCUAAUACCGCAUACCAUCAGAUGUGCCCAGAUGGGAUUAGCUAGUAGGGGGGGUAAUGGCUCACCUAGGCGACGAUCACUAGCUGGUCUGAGAGGAUGACAAGUGACAGUGGAACUGCGACACGGUCCAGAAGCCAAGGGGAGGCAGGAGUGGGGAAGAGUGCACAAGGGGCGCAAGCCUGAAGGAGCCAUGCCGCGGGGGUGAAGAAGGCCUGAGGGUUGUAGAGCACUUUCAGCGAGGAGGCGUGACUCGCAGAAGAAGCACCGGCUAACUCCGUGCCAGCAGCCGCGGUAAUUC
rnacentral:rRNA from 1 species